rnacentral:rRNA from 1 species
AUUGAACGCUGGCGGCAUGCCUUACACAUGCAAGUCGAACGGCAGCACGGGGCAACCUGGUGGCGAGUGGCGAACGGGUGAGUAAUGCAUCGGAACGUACCUUUCAGUGGGGGAUAACGUAGCGAAAGUUACGCUAAUACCGCACAUUCUGUGAGCAGGAAAGCAGGGGAUCGCAAGACCUUGCGCUGAUUGAGCGGCCGAUGUCAGAUUAGCUAGUUGGUGAGGUAAAGGCUCACCAAGGCGACGAUCUGUAGCGGGUCUGAGAGGAUGAUCCGCCACACUGGAACUGAGACAUGGUCCAGACUCCUACGGGAGGCAGCAGUGGGGAAUUUUGGACAAUGGGGGCAACCCUGAUCCAGCCAUGCCGCGUGAGUGAAGAAGGCCUUCGGGUUGUAAAGCUCUUUCGGCCGGGAAGAAAUCGCACGGGCUAAUACCCUGUGUGGAUGACGGUACCGGAAUAAGAAGCACCGGCUAACUACGUGCCAGCCGCCGCAGUAACAC